rnacentral:rRNA from 1 species
GCAGUGGGGAAUAUUGCGCAANGGGGCAACCCUGACGCAGCGACGCCGCGUGAGCGAUGAAGGCCUUCGGGUCGUAAAGCUCUGUUGUAAGGGACGAAUGUUCCUAUGGCAAAUAGCCAUAGGGAGUGACGGUACCUUACCAGCAAGCCCCGGCUAACUACGUGCCAGCAGCCGCGGUAAGACGUAGGGGGCGAGCGUUGUCCGGAAUUACUGGGCGUAAAGAGCGCGUAGGCGGGUAAUUAAGUCAGAUGUGAAAGACCGGGGCCUAACCCCGGGGUUGCAUCUGAAACUGGAUAUCUUGAGGGCAGGAGAGGAAAGUGGAAUUCCUGGUGUAGCGGUGAAAUGCGUAGAAAUCAGGAGGAACACCAGUGGCGAAGGCGACUUUCUGGACUGACCCUGACGCUGAUGUGCGAAAGCGUGGGUAGCAAACAGGAUUAGAUACCCUGGUAGUCCACGCUGUAAACGAUGGAUACUAGGUGUGGGAGGUAUCGACCC